UUGAGUUGAAAUAUCAGCAGUUAGACAAACAAAUUAAUCGUGGUAUGAACCCGUUAUAUAUUUUAAUACUAGAUGAUGCCAGC